rnacentral:rRNA from 1 species
GGCGAGUGGCGAACGGGUGAGUAAUACAUCGGAACGUGUCCUGGAGUGGGGGAUAGCCCGGCGAAAGCCGGAUUAAUACCGCAUACGCUCUGUGGAGGAAAGCGGGGGAUCUUCGGACCUCGCGCUCAAGGGGCGGCCGAUGGCAGAUUAGCUAGUUGGUGGGGUAAAGGCCUACCAAGGCGACGAUCUGUAGCUGGUCUGAGAGGACGACCAGCCACACUGGGACUGAGACACGGCCCAGACUCCUACGGGAGGCAGCAGUGGGGAAUUUUGGACAAUGGGGGCAACCCUGAUCCAGCAAUGCCGCGUGUGUGAAGAAGGCCUUCGGGUUGUAAAGCACUUUUGUCCGGAAAGAAAACCUCUGGGUUAAUACCCUGGGGGGAUGACGGUACCGGAAGAAUAAGCACCGGCUAACUACGUGCCAGCAGCCGCGGUAAUACGU